AUAUAUAAUUAUUAAAAGUAUGAUUUAAUUAUUAACACAUCCUCAAAUGUCUUAAAUGUAAACAUACUUUAGUUUUCAGUCAGAAUUUUUUCUAAGUUCUUAAUUGAAUCCUCGAUAUAGUAAGGAAAAUGUAGAAACAAUAUUAUAUCAAAAUAGCUGAGUGGUUAAGGUGCUCUGUUGCGAUAAUUAGUGAUGUGCAGUUCCGUUUUCAAUCCCCACCGAAGACUUAUCUAUUUCUCCGUUUUAGUCAAUGGUAGACUAGUCUACUAUUAUAUUAUAUUCUAAAUUCGCUGAAUUUCAUUGUACAUUUACGAGGGUUUCACUAGAAAAUGACUGCUUCGGUACUGCUUGUUUUAUUUUCUACAAGUUUUUUUGCUUCAAGUAAUUCUAUAGUAUUUCUAUGUUAUUAUUGUAAAAAUACUUGUUCCAAAAUCCUUUACUAUUACUUGAGUUUUUUAAUUGUAUUUCUUGAGUAAUUGCCAAGUAAAUUUUCACCGUAAUAUUGUAAUAUUUUCAUGAAAAUUACCUUUUUAAGUGUUUAUCUGUAUUUCAAUUUCAAUUUUUGAAACAGUUGAACAUAGAAGAUCAUUAAGAAUAAGACAAACAGAAAACGUUAACUGGAUUAAAUAUUAUGGAACGAGAAUCACAUUGUGCAUCACGAAAACUUUCGAUUUUCAUUGGAAAAUUUAUCAGAGAAAUUCUCUGAUAGAAGGAAAGGACUUCUAUUUGACUCUAUCUCUUUCACCAGGAUCGACAACUGCAUUAGAUUUGACUUUUGAUACUACUUCAAGUAGUUCGUCAGGAAAGAUAUGAUUUUCAAAUCUGAUGUAGACGAAGAAGACAUGAAUUGGGGCCAACUACUUUGUUUAACACCAAAAUUCUGAGCAAAAACGAAGAAAUAGUUUAAAUAAAUAUAAAGGAUCUGAG